UGCAGUCGAGCGGCAGCGACACAUUGAACCUUCGGGGGAUUUGUUGGGCGGCGAGCGGCGGACGGGUGAGUAAUGCCUGGGAAUAUGCCCUGAUGUGGGGGAUGCCAUUGAAUACGAUGGCUAAUACCGCAUAAUCUCUUCGGAGCAAAGAGGGGGACUUCGGGCCUCUCGUUUCAGGAUUAGCCCAGGUGAGAUUAGCUAGUUGGCGAGGGAGGGCUCACCAAGGUGACGAUCUCUAGCUGGCUGGGAGGGUCAAGUGAAAUAGUUGUUCCCUUUCUCUCCACUAUUGUGGCCCAGCCCUCAAAAAACAUCCCCCGGGGAGGACGGGGGGGGUGUUAUAUCUUUAAUGAAAACGCGGGCGGCCCGCCCUUUACGCCCAGUAAUUUUAUUUACCUUCGCACCCUCCGUAUCUUCCACCUCUGCUGGCCGCGAAUUACCCGGCGUUACUUAUAGGGUCCCCUCGGGACCGUUAAGAAAAGGAGUUAACGCCUCCUUUAGCUUGAAAAGGGUUUUCUGCCCGAAAGCCUUCUUCCCACCCCAGGCAUGGCUCUUUCAUGGUUUCCCCCAUUGUGGAAAAUUCCCGACUGCUGCCUCCCGUAAGAGUGUGGAAGGUGGGGCAGUCCCACAAUAGUCAUAGUCCCUUCCAAGUUGGGAGACCCUGUCUCCCAAUGGGGCCACAGAGGCCACCCAACCAGCGAUGGUGAGCGAAUCCCAGAAAGUACGUCGUAGUCCGGAUUGGAGUCUGCAACUCGACUCCAUGAAGUCGGAAUCGCUAGUAAUCGUGGAUCAGAAUGCCACGGUGAAUACGUUCCCGGGCCUUGUACACACCGCCCGUCACACCAUGGGAGUGGGCUGCACCAGAAGUAGUAUAGCUUAACCUUCGGGAGGGCGU
rnacentral:rRNA from 1 species